GGCUGCGAGCCGCCGCGCCGGGCCGGGCCCCGGCAGGUGGGCGAGCCGUGCCGAACCGGGGCUGCUGCGGGGUCUUCAACAUGGCUGGCACUGACACAGCUACCUUCCUGCAUGCGGCUCAGUGCGACGUCACUUGAUGGUGUUGAAGAUGGACUGCAGAGGAGAAGGACAGAACACGAGCCCAGGGGCAGGGAGCCUGGCCAGGGGCCCCUCAGGUGCUGUGCAGCAGCUGGUGUUGUGAAUCAGGCCGUCACCAGUCGGAGAACGGCUACUUCACAACACCAGGGUCGCACCGCACCACGCUUCGACCGCCAGCUGGACAGGAGCAGCGUCUCCUGCGGGCAGGCAAGGGAUGUGGAGCACCUUCUGGCUGCUUCCAUGCAAGCCCAGACCUGCAAAGGUAAUCAGGUGCUCAACUCCUAUUUAGGCACCAGCCUCCCACUGAAGUCUGAAAUAGAAGUUAGGCCCCUAAAUAUCUCUGUGGGUCUGGCCCCGAAACCCUGCGUCGCAGUGCAGUGCAGAGCUUCAGCAGGCACAGGGCAGCACUGGCAGCAGUGUGGUCACUGCCCCUUCACAUGCCUCAAAAAACAGGUAGCUUUUAUUAAGCUGUGGAAAACAGAAAAAAAAAAACAAACCCUCUGCAUGCUCCAUGUGUGGUUCUCUCUCACAGUAGCAUCUGUGGUCCUUGCCUGUGACUUGUUCUGAUCCCUCCCUAUCUCUAUACCCAACCGCACAGUCUCUGUAAAAGGUCCUGUACCUACCAGGAAAAAGUUGGGCUCCUUGCUGUUGAUACAAAACCUGGUCAGCCUCUGCCAGCAUGCCUCUAUCUAAACCAGCCCUACGUGUGUUGUGAUGAAAGAAAAAAUAAACAGAAGUGGUACAAACAACUUCAGUCCUUAAAAUCAAGAAAAGGUUGCUAAAGCAAUGCCUCAUAAAUUCCUAGGUGUGGAGGGACAGUAGGCACACUCAAACCAAGUGACCCUUUAACAUGUGCCAAACAUUUCAGAUUUUAAAAACAGGCCCUUCUCUGCCUCCUCCUUUUUGCCUCCUCCUCACAUCCACCAGUGUGAUGUUAGUUUGAGAGGAUUGGGUUACAGAGCAGUGCUUUCCAUCCAAAUCUGGGUCAUGUACAUGGAGGUUGGCACACACCUGAUGGUCAGGGUAUACAAUCCCUUAAGUCAAACUGAAACACUGUUCAGUUUUGAUAUCAGAAAACAAGCACUUGGUCUCAGGAUGAGGUUUUCUUUGGUGGGUUUUCCCUUCCUCCCACCCCUUAGGAUUGCUCUGUGCUGUCAGGUGUGUCUGGCUGUUCCCUUGUAUGAUAUAAAAGACUAGAUAUGUCUAAAGCAAAGAGUGGAGAAGUGUAGAGAGAAACUAUUCAGGUAACAUAGAACCAAUGAAGGUUUUUUUGAAAGCUUUCUUCAUUAUCCUAACUCGUCUGAGUGAAGAUGGCAGUAAAAAUUAUUUAAAUUCCAUGCUGGAUGUAUUAUUGCUGGCAGGGAGAUAGGCAUAGGGGACAGUCAGGAUCUGAAAUAGUAUGGGACAGCCUGAAAAUGCAUAUUAAAGGUGACAAUGGUGGUUUCACUGGGCCUAUCCUAAUCUUUAUGUUCAGGUAGACUCCUUGCACAGGUAGCCCUGAAUUCCUUUUAUAGCAAAAAGUCAAAUACUUUGAACAAUGUAAGAGGUGUAUGGGAGGCUUAUUUGUACAUUAGGAGAGCAAUCUGUGGAUGGAUGAAGGCUAGCACUGGGUUUUUGUCGUUGAUGAGAGGAAAAACUAGAUCAUGCUUCUUGUUCAUGCACUAUGAAUUUGUAAAUUCAACAUGUAAGAACAUUGUUUUAUUAAACCUGUUCUCUGCUAACACAAA